UACGUAGGGUGCGAGCGUUGUCCGGAAUUAUUGGGCGUAAAGGGCUCGUAGGCGGUCUGUCGCGUCGGGAGUGAAAACUCAGGGCUUAACCCUGAGCCUGCUUCCGAUACGGGGCAGACUAGAGGUAUGCAGGGGGAGAACGGAAUUCCUGGUGUAGCGGUGGAAUGCGCAGAUAUCAGGAGGAACACCGGUGGCGAAGGCGGUUCUCUGGAACGCAACUGACGCUGAGACGCGAAGACGUGGGAGGCAACA
rnacentral:rRNA from 1 species